rnacentral:rRNA from 1 species
AUUGAACGCUGGCGGCAUGCUUUACACAUGCAAGUCGAACGGCAGCGCGGGCUUCGGCCUGGCGGCGAGUGGCGAACGGGUGAGUAAUGCAUCGGAACGUGCCCAGUAGUGGGGGAUAGCCCGGCGAAAGCCGGAUUAAUACCGCAUACGACCUGACGGUGAAAGCGGGGGACCGAAAGACCUCGCGCUAUUGGAGCGGCCGAUGUCGGAUUAGCUAGUUGGUGGGGUAAAGGCUUACCAAGGCGACGAUCCGUAGCUGGUCUGAGAGGACGACCAGCCACACUGGGACUGAGACACGGCCCAGACUCCUACGGGAGGCAGCAGUGGGGAAUUUUGGACAAUGGGGGCAACCCUGAUCCAGCCAUGCCGCGUGCGGGAAGAAGGCCUUCGGGUUGUAAACCGCUUUUGUUCGGGAAGAAAUCCUCUGGGCUAAUACCCCGGGGGGAUGACGGUACCGGAAGAAUAAGCACCGGCUAACUACGUG